rnacentral:tRNA from 1 species
GCGGGCGUGGCGAAAUUGGUAUACGCGCCGGAUUUAGGUUCCGGUGGCCUUGUGUCGUGGGGGUUCAAGUCCCUCCGCCCGCA